UAGCCCUUCUCGCAUCAAUUUCCGCCGUGAGUUUGACUUCCGGCCUGUUGCGAUGAAUCGCUUGCUCAGGGAGGGAGGACAUGUUUCUAAAUAUGGAUCAAAUUGUUAAAAUGAGUAAAGGCGUUGGUGAGAAAAAUGGAGGAAGAAAUUAUAACGACUUUUUCCCAAAUUACAUUCCAACUACAAAGCUGGCGCUGGCUAGCUAGCUUAUUUUCAUUACAAUAGCAUGGCUAGUUAGCAAUAGUCUUCCGUCUAGACUAUAACUAAUGGUUGUUGCGUUGUUGGAACAGAGCAAUAGUUCUUUGUACUUGUCAUUUGGUUGAGACUAAUAUUCGUUUAGAAAAUAAUUGUUUACAUUGUGAAAUUGGUUGGCUUUGCUAGUUAGCAAGCUGAGAUUUAUUUACUCAUGUUGGCUAACCUAACUAUUAGCAAAUUGUUUAGGAGAACAGGUUAGCUCCUUGCAGAAUCUAGACAAUAGAGAAUGGGGAAUAAGAUCUGGCUGGUGCAGUGCCCAGACCAGGUGAAAGCAAACUGCUACAGAGAUAAAAAGCCACAACAUGAUGAUCAGGAGGUCAAAGCAUCUGAAGAGGAGGACAAAAGCCUGCUUUGGAUGAGCAAGCUAGAACAAUAACAACUAGCUAUAUCAGAUAAACAUGUCUAGGAGAAGCGGGGAAUCACCAAAUGCUAAGUUGAACAAGCACCACGGAUGAAGGAGGGGGAGGAAAACAGACAGCUUCUUUCUCCCACAUCUUCACCAAAUCAUACAAUGUUUGCUUCAUGAACAAUUGUUACAUCUGAAAUGAAUACAGAAUUAUUUUAGUUUAUUCUGUUUCUGUUUUUUUUAAUGCUGGAUGUGAGUAAUUUAGCUGGUCUAUAGUAUGUAUUGUUUUGAAGCAUUUAUUAAAUAUCUCAGUCAAAACUAA